UGGGGAAUUUUGGACAAUUGGGCGAAAGCCUGAUCCAGCAAUGCCGCGUGUGUGAAGAAGGCCUUCGGGUUGUAAAGCACUUUUGUCCGGAAAGAAAUCCUUGGCUCUAAUACAGUCGGGGGAUGACGGUACCGGAAGAAUAAGCACCGGCUAACUACGUGCCAGCAGCCGCGGUAAUACGUAGGGUGCAAGCGUUAAUCGGAAUUACUGGGCGUAAAGCGUGCGCAGGCGGUUUGCUAAGACCGAUGUGAAAUCCCCGGGCUCAACCUGGGAACUGCAUUGAUGACUGGCAGGCUAGAGUAUGGCAGAGGGGGGUUAGAAUUCCACGUGUAGCAGUGAAAUGCGUAGAGAUGUGGAGGAAUACCGAUGGCGAAGGCAGCCCCCUGGGCCAAUACUGACGCUCAUGCACGAAAGCGUGGGGAGCAAAC
rnacentral:rRNA from 1 species